UACGUAGGUGGCGAGCGUUGUCCGGAUUUACUGGGCGUAAAGGGAGCGUAGGCGGACUUUUAAGUGAGAUGUGAAAUACCCGGGCUCAACUUGGGUGCUGCAUUUCAAACUGGAAGUCUAGAGUGCAGGAGAGGAGAAUGGAAUUCCUAGUGUAGCGGUGAAAUGCGUAGAUAUUAGGAGGAACACCAGUUGCGAAGGCGGCUCUCUGGACUGUAACUGACACUGAGGCACGAAAGCGUGGGGAGCAAACAGGAUUAGAUACCCU
rnacentral:rRNA from 1 species